GAUGAAGAACGUAGCGAAAUGCGAUAAGUAAUGUGAAUUGCAGAAUUCAGUGAAUCAUCGAAUCUUUGAACGCACAUUGCGCCCCUUGGUAUCCCGAGGGGCAUGCCUGUUCGAGCGUCAUUUCACCACUCAAGCCUGGCUUGGUGUUGGGCGACGUCCUCUUUGGGGACGCGCCUCGAAACGCUCGGCGGCGUGGCACCGGCUUUAAGCGUAGCAGAAUCUUUCGCUUUGGAAGUCGGGGCCCCGUCUGCCGGAAGACCUGCUCGCAAGGUUGACCUCGGAUCAGGCAGGGAUACCCGCUGAACUUAAGCAUAUCAUAAGCGGAGGA
rnacentral:misc_RNA from 1 species